UGUGUGUGUGUGAGGAUGCAUGGACACACGUCUGGUUAUUAUUAGAGUAAUUACAGUAUAAGUGGGGGGGGGGGGUACUACACAAACUCCUAACGACAACAACAACAACAAGAACAACAGCAACAUGAGCAGAGACGACACACGGAUCAGGAAGUCCACUUCACCACAAUCGUCCACUCACACACACACACACACAUACGCACACGUACGCAAACACUCAGAG